rnacentral:tRNA from 1 species
GAAGGUGUAGCUCAAGUGGUAGAGCAUAUGCUUAGCAUGCACAAGGUCCUGGGUUCAAUCCCCAGUACCUCCU